rnacentral:rRNA from 1 species
CGGCGCACGGGUGCGUAACGCGUAUGCAAUCUACCUUUUACAGAGGGAUAGCCCAGAGAAAUUUGGAUUAAUACCUCAUAGUAUAGCGACAUCGCAUGAUGAUGCUAUUAAAGUCACAACGGUAAAAGAUGAGCAUGCGUCCCAUUAGCUAGUUGGUAAGGUAACGGCUUACCAAGGCAACGAUGGGUAGGGGUCCUGAGAGGGAGAUCCCCCACACUGGUACUGAGACACGGACCAGACUCCUACGGGAGGCAGCAGUGAGGAAUAUUGGACAAUGGGCGCAAGCCUGAUCCAGCCAUGCCGCGUGCAGGAUGACGGUCCUAUGGAUUGUAGACUGCUUUUGUACGAGAAGAAACACUCCUAUGUAUAGGAGCUUGACGGUAUCGUAAGAAUAAGGAUCGGCUAACUCCGUGCCAGCAGCCGCGGUAAUACGGAGGAUCCAAGCGUUAUCCGGAAUCAUUGGGUUUAAAGGGUCCGUAGGCGGUUUGGUAAGUCAGUGGUGAAAGCCCAUCGCUCAACGGUGGAACGGCCAUUGAUACUGCCAGACUUGAAUUAUUAGGAAGUAACUAGAAUAUGUAGUGUAGCGGUGAAAUGCUUAGAGAUUACAUGGAAUACCAAUUGCGAAGGCAGGUUACUACUAAUGGAUUGACGCUGAUGGACGAAAGCGUGGGUAGCGAACAGGAUUAGAUACCCUGGUAGUCCACGCCGUANACGAUGGAUACUAGCUGUUGGAAGCAAUUUCAGUGGCUAAGCGAAAGUGAUAAGUAUCCCACCUGGGGAGUACGUUCGCAAGAUGAAACUCAA